UACGGGGGGGGCAAGCGUUGUUCGGAAUUACUGGGCGUAAAGGGCUCGUAGGUGGCCAACUAAGUCGGACGUGAAAUCCCUCGGCUUAACCGGGGAACUGCGUCCGAUACUGGUUGGCUUGAGUUUGGGAGAGGGGUGCGGAAUUCCAGGUGUAGCGGUGAAAUGCGUAGAUAUCUGGAGGAACACCGGUGGCGAAGGCGGCCCCCUGGACCGGUACUGACGCUGAGGCGCGAAAGCGUGGGUAGCAAACGGG
rnacentral:rRNA from 1 species